rnacentral:rRNA from 1 species
ACCUGCCUUAGGUUGGGUAUAAACCCCGGGAAACUGGGUAUAAUACCCGAUAGGCCUCGAUUGCUGGAAUGCAUCGAGAUUUAAAGCUCCGGCGCUAAGGAUGGGUCUGCGGCCUAUCAGGUAGUAGUGGGUGUAGCGUACAUACUAGCUACGACGGGUACGGGUUGUGAGAGCAAGAGCCCGGAGAUGGAUUCUGAGACACGAAUCCAGGCCCUACGGGGUGCAGCAGGCGCGAAAACUUUACAAUGCUGGCAACAGCGAUAAGGGAACCUCGAGUGCCAGGUUACAAAUCUGGCUGUCGAGAUGCCUAAAAAGCAUUUCAUAGCAAGGGCCGGGCAAGACCGGUGCCAGCCGCCGCGGUAACACCGGCGGCUCGAGUGGUAACCGUUAUUAUUGGGUCUAAAGGGUCUGUAGCCGGCCGGAUAAGUCUCCUGAGAAAUCUGGCAGCUUAACUGUCAGGCUUUCAGGAGAUACUGUCUGGCUCGAGGCCGGGAGAGGUGAGAGGUACUUCAGGGGUAGGGGUGAAAUCUUGUAAUCCUUGAAGGACCACCAGUGGCGAAGGCGUCUCACCAGAACGGACCUGACGGCAAGGGACGAAAGCUAGGGGCACGAACCGGAUUAGAUACCCGGGUAGUCCUAGCCGUAAACGAUACUCGCUAGGUGUCGGCCACGGUGCGACCGUUGUCGGUGCCGUAGGGAAGCCGUGAAGCGAGCCACCUGGGAAGUACGGCCGCAAGGCUGAAACUUAAAGGAAUUGGCGGGGGAGCACCACAACGGGUGGAGCUUGCGGUUUAAUUGGAUUCAACGCCGGAAAUCUUACCGGGACCGACAGCAAUAUGAAGGCCAGGCUGAAGACUUUGCCGGAUUAGCUGAGAGGUGGUGCAUGGCCGUCGUCAGUUCGUACUGUGAAGCAUCCUGUUAAGUCAGGCAACGAGCGAGACCCA